CGGGGUGUAGUAUACCGGUAGUACGUGUCCUUUGGGAGGAUAAAGACUGGGUUCAAUUCCCAGCACCCCGA
rnacentral:tRNA from 1 species